UAUAUAGUUUUAGAUGUAUAAUUUAAAUGUUUAUUACUUUUAUAUUUUAAUUUUACUAAAUAUGAAAUAUUAAUCCAUCAUAAAACUGAUUUAGGAUUUCAGUUUACGUUGUUAAAAAUCUCGUUACCUUAUAUUAUAUAAAAGGUUUUCAGUGCGUGGGAGGUUAUUAGCAUUUUGAUUAUUCAAUAUAACUUAUUGUUAUAGAUCACUUCAAAAUAAUAUUAUCUUUCUGUCUUUUCUUUAUACAACAGUAUAUAUACUAAUUGUAAUUGGCCACAAAUACCUAUACACUGCAGUUUUACGUGCCCGAACAUCGAUUUAACUUUUGCAGGAGCGUAGUUUUUAGUUAUUUGUUGGAUUCACUGUUCCCUCUUGAAUAUAAUAAAUUAUAAAAGUUCAGGAUAACAUUUUAGAACAAGCAGAAAGACUUUUCUUCCCAAAAUUAGAUUAUAACAGUAAUUGUGAUAUAAAAUUGUACCUAUAAUCACAUUUUUAUAAGCCGUAGAGAAAAACAGACGAGUCAAUCACAUUGAACACAACUAUAAAUUAAUUAAGUAACUUUAAUUACUAUUGAUUACAAAUAUUGUAAAACUUUUAUGAAUGUGUUUCUAAAGAAAAAAAUUAUUAUUUUCGUUAUACUUUUUAACUACUGUUGGUAUAGAUCACUUCAGGACAAUAAUAUUAUCUUUAUAUCUUGUUUUUAUAAGUGUGGAUAUACUUAUGAUACUAAAAAUAUUCGUUUAAAAAAUGUGUAUACAUUAAAAUUCCAACGACCAUAAAUAUGUCAAUGAACAAAAUAUGAAAAACAAAGGAGUCAAUCACAUUGAACACAACUAUACAUUUCAUAUUAUAUCUUAUACCUAUUGUGUUUUUAAUAACUUUGGUAUCUUGUAUAUAUUUUUACAGCUUUAAGCGGUAAAUUUGUGGAAGCAAGCAAUUUAAGUAAGUACUAUUAAAUUAAAUUAUUUGUAUUUAUAUCGUGUUAUUUAUUAAUUUUCAAGACAUCAACUGUGAGGUUGUUAGGCGCUUGGUGAAGAAGUAGGUUUUUAAGCGUGGAGAUAGGUAUGGUUGGUUAGAGCACGUGUAUAUGUAGCGAAAUUUGUAAUUAAUAACCCGGUUGGUCACCUAUCCGAGAACUAGUGACACCAGCUAUUGGUUAAACUAAAGAACACAACGGAGGACAACCACAGCACCAAACCAGGCUACUAUCAUUUUAUUGAAUAUCUAACAGUCAGAUAUAAAUAAUAAAUUGUUUUCGAUUGAACUUGUCUUUUACAUUUAUAGAUUCUAAUCGGGAUUAUAAUAUAAUUUAAAAAUAUUUGCUAAUUUAAUGAAGUUCAUACACACUGGACUUUUAAAUGGUCUUAACAAAAUUAUGACUGUAUUUUCGAUAUUUUUUAAAGCAGACAUUUUUUAAGAACCUUGUAGUAAAUUUUCAAUUUUUCAUCUUAUAAUAUAAAUUGUACAAAAUAGUUUAAAAAGAUUUUGAAUAUCUAUAAAUAACAAAAAAAAUAUCGAAGUAUUUUUUAUGUUACGAGUGAUAAUGUACAUUAUUUCAUUGGUAUCUAGUACCUAAUUGCAAUUUUAAAUAUAUGUUGAAAAAUUUAAGUCUGCUUUAGUGGAGUGUCUAUAAAAUAUAGUGUAGUAUUCUUUUUCAAAACUAGAAAUUGUACCUACCUACCUUUUAAAAAAAAUUAUGUUUAUCUUCACAAGACUAGAUUGUUUCUACGUUGAGUGACUAAAGAUUCGCGAUAAGAACAAUUAUGAUAUGAAGUCAUAUUUAAUUAUAAUAAUUUUCAAUAAAUGAAAUUAUGUUUAAUGAUAGUUUGUCAAUCUCAAUAACAAUUUUUAAGCUGUUUGAUAUAAAAAUUAAUC